CGCGAAUGGCUCAUUACAACAGCUAACAAAUCUACUUGAUCUUGACACAAUCCUACUUGGAUAACUGUGGUAAUUCUAGAGCUAAUACAUGCAUUAAAGCUCUGACCUUCGGGGAGGAGUGCAUUUAUUAGAACAAAACCAAGCGGCUUCGGCUGUUUUCGGUUGACUCAUAGUAACUGAGCUGAUCGCAUGGUCUUGCACCGGCGACGUGUCUUUCGAGUAUCUGCCGUAUCAACUUUCGAUGGUAGUGUAUCUGACUACCAUGGUGAUCACGCGUAACGGAGAAUAAGGGUUCGACUCCGGAGAGUUCGCCUGAGAAAUCGCGAACACAUCUAAGGAAGGCAGCAGGCGCGAAAAUUACCCACUCUCAGCACGAGGAGGUAGUGACGAAAAAUAACGAGACCGUUCUCUUAUGAGGCCGGUCAUCGGAAUGGGUACAAUUUAAACCCUUUAACGAGUAUCUAUGAGAGGGCAAGUCUGGUGCCAGCAGCCGCGGUAAUUCCAGCU
rnacentral:rRNA from 1 species